GACGACUGUGUCGUCCCGCGCCUUGGGCAUGUCCCGGGUAAAUAUGCCCGGGUAGGGUCAAGUUGAAUGCCUCUGCCUGCCCGGUAGACAGGCGCGGCCCCCAGGAGAGGCGAGACUCAGGGGGGACCAGAAAGUUUUACAUUCGCGGUUUUAUAAAACACCCCGGAAGUGAGACGAGGGACAAAAAAUGUGUUCACUUGUACACACUCCUAUUCUCUGACUCGAAGGACUGCGUUGUUAUUCACAGUUACCCCUCACGGCGAGGCCGUCCAGGCACUCAAGGAGAUGAAGCUGCAAAGGGGACUGAAGAGGCAGGCAGAGAGGAGGCUCAGGAGGCAUUUAUUAUUAGAGAAGCCAAGGGAAGACAGCGCCUCCCUCCAGGAGGGCGUGAUGGACUGUACUGAGUGCUGUUAAAAGGUCAAGGGAGAGGACGGGAAAAUGUCAGAUGUUUUCAGGUCUGAGAAUGGGGUGAAAUCUGAAGAACACAGGAAAAAAGGAUGGAAAGAUGCUGGGCCCUUGAUGUUAUUGAGCCGCAAAAUUGGAAAACCCUAGUUUAGACACUCUUCUCCAAACGUUCAUACAAAGAGUACAAAAUUUAAAGAAUUAGAGGAAGCAAGACUCUCUACAGUAGCUGCCAUCUGAGGAAAAAGAUGAAUUCCACUCAUCUGGCAUCUCACAAACUCUUGGUGUUUCCAAGUUUGCUACUAACCUUAAAUUCUCCAAAAUAUACCUGCAAAAGAGUCUCUUUGAAGAAUCCAAACUCACUGGUGCUGAAAUACUGGAUGAACUGGGGGAGACAUUGCAGAAAUAUGCUGAGUAUAACGUUACUUCCCCUGCGGAAAUUGUAACCCUUGUGAAUUACAGUUGGCAUGAUCUUAUUGAAAGUGCUUAUAAGUGUGCAACCAAAAAUUCAAUGCUGAAGAAACACAAUGCCUUGCAAAGAGAUUCCAAUUCUAUGACCAAGCUUGGCUUAAAGAGAUACAAAAAUGAGCAGCUAUUCAAGAGAAGAGUGUCAUAAGGAAAAUCAUCUGGUGAAAGCAAAAAAACACCACUGUGUUGCAUCAAGUAAUUUUAUGGGAAAAACAUAUGCAGUUUGUUUGUUAUGGGAUCCUGGAUUUAUGGACUUCCUAAUUCAUACAUAAAGUUUAAGAAGCUCUCAUGGAUUUUGCUUUCUUUUCAAAAUGUCCCUAGUUUUUUUGUUUCUAUACAGCUUUUGAAACAUCUAUUUUUUUCCCACAGGAUGAAUUCAUUCCACUUCAUAGAUUAAUAAUAUUUCUUGUCUUAGAUUUACAUUUAACCACAAAACUUAGUAAUGCUACAAAGAGGCCUUGCAUCCUGGUAGUCUCUUUUACCAGCAAUAGGCUGCUGACUGUUAUUCCAGUUGAAAAAGAUGAAUAAAGAGAUUCGUAAAA